UCAGAGACGUUAACUCGUUCGGGCUGGCGCUGCCGCCAUUUUGAAUUCGCUCGCUGGUGGUGCGGUCAGUGGUUGCGGCGGCUCCGGGACCCCCUCAGAGCGCGAGAGAGACCGAAACAUGGCAGCGAACAGCCGGAACUUGAAACAAGUGCGGAUCGAAAACAGCUCCCCGGCGGCCCCGCUCGGCAUGGUGGGGGGCGGCGGCCUGAAGGGGAUGCGGGGCCUGGAGGCGGACAGCGAGGUAGGGGCCAUGGCGCCGGGCAAAGAGGCUUGCGACGAGGAGCAGGAGGUCGGGUUCACCAUCGACAUCAAGAGCUUCCUCAAGCCCGGCGAAAAGAGCUACACGCAGCGCUGCCGCCUCUUCGUGGGGAACCUGCCCACGGACAUCACCGAGGAGGACUUCAAGCGCCUCUUCGAGCGCUACGGGGAGCCCAGCGAGGUCUUUAUCAACCGCGACCGCGGCUUCGGCUUCAUCCGCCUGGAAUCUAGAACACUGGCUGAAAUAGCAAAGACAGAACUUGAUGGUACUAUUUUGAAGAGUAGACCACUUCGAAUUCGAUUUGCUACACAUGGAGCUGCCUUAACAGUCAAGAAUCUUUCACCUGUGGUUUCCAAUGAGCUUCUGGAACAAGCUUUUUCUCAAUUUGGUCCAGUGGAGAGGGCUGUUGUUGUAGUAGAUGACCGUGGCAGAGCUACAGGAAAAGGUUUUGUAGAGUUUGCAGCAAAACCUCCGGCAAGGAAGGCUCUAGAGAGAUGCAGUGAUGGGGCAUUCUUACUAACAACAACACCUCGACCUGUUGUUGUAGAACCUAUGGAACAAUUUGAUGAUGAAGAUGGGCUACCAGAGAAAUUAAUGCAAAAAACACAACAGUAUCAUAAGGAAAGAGAGCAGCCUCCACGUUUUGCUCAACCUGGAACAUUUGAAUUUGAGUAUGCUUCCCGAUGGAAGGCUCUUGAUGAGAUGGAAAAGCAGCAGCGAGAACAGGUUGACAGGAACAUUAGAGAAGCCAAAGAGAAACUAGAAGCGGAAAUGGAAGCAGCUAGACAUGAACAUCAGUUAAUGCUGAUGAGGCAAGAUCUCAUGAGGCGCCAGGAAGAACUGAGACGUUUGGAAGAACUUAGAAAUCAAGAGUUACAGAAACGCAAGCAAAUACAAUUGAGACAUGAAGAAGAACAUCGACGUCGUGAAGAAGAGAUGCUACGCCAGAGAGAACAGGAAGAACUGAGACGACAGCAGGAAGGAGGAUUUAAACCAAAUUUCUUGGACAAUAAACAGACACUGCACAGCAGAAGUGCUCCUUGGAAUUCUACCCACCUCUGCGAUAGCACUGAUAUCAUGGUGGAAGCUGUGAUUGGUGACUUCCAGAACAAGAAGAAGAAAUACAUUUAUAAAAUUGCUUUGGCAGAAAAAUUCCUCCUUCAGAGUUAUAGGUUUGGAAAAACUAAGUUCUCUUAUGACUCAGCCUGAGAUAAACUUCUGAAUUGAAAACUCCGUGUGCCCUCACAGUAGAGAAGUUUUCAAGGUGGAUGGCAAUGCAUGCUAAAUUGUACUAGAAUCAAACAUAAGAUUGGAGAGCAUUCCUCGUUUUGCAUGAUGGCAGUAUACAGUGAAGGUUAGAAAAAGGUAGCUAUUAAGCAUUAGCUCUCACUUAACUGUCUAUUCCACAUGCUGCUUCAUAUAUAUGUUUAUUUUAAACGUAUAGUUGAUGCUUUUUUGAGUAGUGUCCCUGUAUGUGCUCCACUUCAGGUGCACCUGAGCCCUAUGCCUUUGAUUGAAAAUUUUUGGUAGUAGUGACUGUGCUGCCUGCUCAUUUAUACCCCACACAUUCUCAUGCCUGGUGCUGAGGCUAUUUGGGGCUGUGUAGGCAAACUGCCCUCAGUUCCUUCAGAGCUCCCUUUGGCGUCUACUGUGUGCCUGUUCUCUAAUAUUUAGCUUUUUCUCACUUAGUUACCUUAUAGUGAUAGUUGUUGGAACAAUUGUUCCCUCGGGGAUUUUUUUCCUUAAAAAGGCCAAACGUUUUAUUCACAGAGACAGUUAUAUAGUUUGGAGAUUUCCCCUUCCAGGGGUUACAUUUUCAUUAGUUUUUCUUGGGACAGCUGGUCUCCCAUUCAAGAGAUGCCUCUACUAUUGUGUGGCUAUUCCAAUAAGUGAUGGACAUUCUCAGUGCCUCUGCUGACUGGAUGAUACUCAUAUCCCCAAUAAGUGCAGGAUCUGCACUUUCUUCAAAGAUAGAUUUUAAAAAAUAGAGAAAGUAAGUAUCAGCUCCUAAUGAUGGAGAAAGCUUUAGGUCCUGUGCAGGAUGUAGGAGCGGAGGAUCCACUCCUCCACCCCCCAAUACAUUGAACUCCCAGUAUAGCUAGUGCCCCGUUCACAUCAAUGUCUGAGUCACUGGAGACUGGUAGAGAGGUAGGCAGCACUGUGGCACAGAGUACAUCUAUGGUCCUUAUUUACAUCUGGCUCUAAGCAGGAGGAGGAAAGGAAUAAAUCUCAUGCACAAAUAUGGCUAUUUAAAUUAUAACAAAUUAUAUUCUUUAAUGAGCAUCUGCCAGAAGAACAUCAAGAGCAAUUUAAGUCCAUUAUACAAGGGGGUCAGCUCCUGGCAUCACUCCAGGCCCCCUUGGAUGGGGCACAUAAGACAGCACAGUCUAACUCCACUGCAGUGGUUAUGAGAAGAGCAUCUUGGCUAUAGCUGUCGGGCUUUCCGAGAGAGGUUCAUAGUACUGUCAUAGACCUCCCCUUUGACAGUCGCAGUCUCUUUGCAGACUUGAUGGAUGCCUCUCUCCACAUUUUAAAAGACUCAAGAGCUACACUGUGAUCACAAGGGAUUUAAAGACCUGUAAAUAAAAGAUUUAGUAGGUCUGGUACUGCACAAGGAGCAUACCAAGCCCUGUAUUCAACAUACCGUAGACCAGGAAUAUUCAGUUAUUUUUGUCAAGGUUCAAAUUUCUUGGUGAAGUUAUAGUCAAAGUCCAGUCUGCAGAGAAAAUAAUAAAAAUGUUGGGGUCUAUACAAACGCAUCUGGCGGUCUGUAUUUGGUCCGUGGUCUGCCUGCUUGACUACCUCUGCCCUAGACCCUUUGAACCCCCAGCCAAGGGAUGAAGAUCAGAUGUUUUGUCCACCAAAUGACAGUUUUGGUGGCUUGGUUCAGAGUCUCAACCAUCCAAUCAACAGAAUAGAGGGUGGAAGCCAAUUUUAGACUUCAGGUCUCUUGACCAAUAUGUAAAGCAACAAAAAUUCAGGACGGUGACUCUGGCAGCAAUAAUUCCUUCAUUAGAAGUAGGAGAUUGGUUUGCAACUUUCAACCUACAAGAAACAUAUUGUCAUGUCUCUAUUCACCCUUUUCAUUUUCUAAUAACAAACACUGCCAAUACAGGGUGCUCCCUUUAGGUUUAUCUUCAGCACCAAGGAUAUUUUCAAAGAUUCUGGCAGUAGUUGCUGCUCACCUACGGCAUACUCAUUCUCCCAUCUUAGACAAUUGGUUGAUCAGGGGUGGAUCAUAUCAGGAAGUGUUGAUGUCAGUAAAGAUCAUGUGUUCCCUGUUUCACAGCCAGGACAUUUGGGGGGGGAGGGGAUAGCUUAGUGGUUUGAGCAUUGGCCUGCUAAACCCAGGGUUGUGAGUUCAAUCCUUGAGGGGGCCAUUUAGGGAACUGGGGCAAAAAUUGGGGAUUGGUCUUGCUUUCAGCAGGGCGUUGGACUAGAUGACCUCCUGAGGUCCCUUCCAACCCUGAUAUUCUAUGAUUCUAUGAAAUCAACCUUGAAAAGUCCAUUUUGACUCCACUACCAUGUCUAGAUUUCAUAGGAACUUUCUUGGAUGCAGUGACAGGCAGAGCAUAUCUACCAUUGAGCAGAUUUCUCACACUAAUGAAUCUCAUCUCAAAGAUUCAGCAUAUUCCUCAAGUAGCAGUAAGAGAUUGUCUUCAACUGCUGGGACACAUCAGCUUGUGUCACUGUAGUGCAGCAUGCCUGAUUACACCUCCUAAGUUGACAGGGAUAGUUUCAGUUUGCAAACCAAGCAAACACAGUCUAGUCAGGUUACUGUCUGUUCUCCAGUGGGUUCUGCAAUCACUCAGUUGGUAUAAAGACCAGACCAAAACCUGUGUAGGUGUUCCGCUCUUGCAGAUUCCCCCUACUGGAGUGAUAAUAUCAGAUGCGUCACUUUUGGGUUGGGUGGGCACAUCCGGGACCUCAUAAGGUAUAAGGAAAGGGACAUUAUAAGAACAGCUUCUCCACAUCAGUCUUUUGGAAUUGAGAGCCAUCAAAAAUGCUUCAUUAUGCUUUCUACCACUAAUCAAUUUGAAGUCAGUAAAGAUAAUGACAGACAGGCAUUCAUGUAUUAUGUCAGUUGUCAAGGAGGUGCACUUUUCCCAGCAGUCUGGGCGGUAGCAGUAGAACUCUGCAACUGGUGCAUAGCCAGCAACACCGUCAUCUCAGCUUCUUACUUCCCAGGUAUUCAGAACACCAUGGCAGAUGACCUCAGCAUACAUUUCUUUCUAUAUUACGAAUGGGAAUUGAAGAGUCCUCCGCAAGAUAGUCUUACCCUGGGGGUUCCCGCAGAUCAGUCUGUUUGCCAUAGCAGCCAAUAGAAAAUGCAUCAGGUAUUGCUCCAUGAGAGGGCUCGAUCCUCAAUGCAUUGGAGGCAUGUUCCUCAUCUCAUGGACAAAAGGACUUCUCGGUCCAUAACUACUGAUACCAUUAUUAUUAAAGGUUCUCAACAAGAUCUAGCCAGAGUCAUACUGAUCGCACCAAUGUGACCAAGACAGAUCUGGUAUCCCUAUUUGAUCAGAUUCACUUCUUGCCCUUUGUGGAGGCUAUUGGUCAGUCCUUAUCUACUGACCCACAAUGCCAGUCCAUCACUUCACCCCAACCUGCAGAUUUUGAGGCUACAAGCAUGGUUCCCCAGUGGUUCUCAGUAAUAGCGAUACCCUGUUUGUCAGAGGUACAACAUGUUUUAUUAAAUAGUAGAAAAGAAUCUACAAGAAAUAACUUUAGAAAAUGGAAACAAUAUUAUCUUUGGUGUAACAUUCACCAGAUGUUGCCAACUCGCUGUCCUCUUCCCAGGGUAUUGAAUUCCCUAUUGGAACUGAAAACAUUGGGUCUUUCUCUAAAUUCCAUAACAACUUUUCACAUAUCCAUAGGGGUUUUUUCACUCUUCACUUACCCAGCUAUGGCAAGAUCUCUAAGGGGUUUAUUGAAUAUCUCCCCUACUCCAAGCUGGGACUUGAACCCAGUACUUACUUGCCUUAUGAAACACCCUUUUGAGCCACUGACUACAUCUUCUUUGGUAAAUUGAUCAACAAAGACAAUCUUCCUGAUAGUAAUAACUUCUGCCUGAAGGGUGAGAAAACUGGGGACCUUAAUGGCAGACACAACAUUUUACAGUAUUCACCAGAGAGAAAGUGUCAGUACCAGGCACUUCCAAGUUUUUUUUACCUAUAGUGUUCUCCGAAUUUUAUAUUAAUCAAACCAUUCCUCUCCCAGAUUUUCCCCCCAAAACCACACUGGACUACUCAGGAAACCAUAUUUGAUAGCCUAGAUGUCAUGAGGGCGUUAGCCUUCUACAUAGUUAGGACUAAACCAUUUAGAAGAUCCCUUAGACUAUUUAUAUCCAUUUCAGACAAAAACAAGGAUUCAGUAACUUCAAAACAGGUUAUCAAAAUUGAUCUCCGGUUGUAUUAAGAUUUGUUAUGACAGAACUCAUGUUCAAUGCCCUUCGAGAGUGGUAGCACGUUCCACAAAAGCACUAUCUACAUCUAUAGCCUUACUUAAGGAUGUACCAAUUGCAGACAUCUGUAGGGUGGCAACUUGGUCAUCUGAUCAUAUUUUGCUUAAUCAUUAUGCUUUGGUACCUGCAGCAAGAUCAGAUGCUGCUGUAGGCAAUAUAGUUCUCUCUUCGUGUGGACUCUGCUCCAAACCUGCCACCUCCUUUAAUGGGGGUACUGCUCACAAGUCACCUGAAGUGGAGAACCCCCAGAGACACUACUUGAUGAAGGAGAAAUUCUGAGGACACCUUAGGUAAAAAUCUUGGACGCUUUCUCACCUUGCACAAUAGCUGGAGUUUGAGGUGUUUGGUGCUACACUAUCCGCCCUCCUUCCCCUCUGUUUUGGAGUCUCUGUUAUGGGUCUUGGUGGUGGAGAAGGAACUGAAGGUGGCUUACCUGUGCAGCCCCAUAGAAUCUUGGCACAGGGCACAAGGAUUUGUGGGGUACCCAUGCAGGCUGAACGGGCAUUGCUACCAGAAAUCUCUGAUCAAAGGUGCAAGGCACAAGUGAACCUGAAGUGGAGCACCAACAAGGGGACAUAUCUCAAAGAACUCCAGUUACUGCUCAAGAUGAGUAACCUCUCCCUCCUUCCUCUGCUAUGUGGCUGGUACAGGUGUGAGCUAUAUAAUUGAUUUGACACACUAAUACUUGAGCGUUAUAUUAAGAACUUCUUAUAUUUUGAAAGUGAAAUUUUGUUGAAUGCUAUAUACAGUACCAAAUAAUGCUUACAACAGUUCUGUACUUUUUGCUUGAAAUAUUUCAGUCUGGGUAACAGUUUUACAAAUAAUAGUUUAAUCUUUAAACUGGUAUCAGCUGAUCUGCACUUGGGUGGGAAGAGGGGAAACCGUGUAUUUUUGCCUCUUUCAGACCAUAAAUCAAGGGCUAGUGCUGGGGAACGUUGUUUUGCCAUGAAAGCACUUGACUUGGUCUGCCAAGGCAAAUUUAGGCAUGGUAAGUUGCUGUUGGUUGAAGGAUGAUUUUGUGGUGAAUGGCAUUAGACUGGGAGUCAAGAGACUUCUGUUCCCAGUUCUACCACUGACUUGCUGGUUAAUCUUGGGAAAAUCAGUCCUUUUGCUUCAGCUUUUGCCAGCUGUAAAAUGGGGAUAAAACUUACCACUUCUCUGUGUUGAGCCUUUUUUCAUAGACUGAUAGCUUUUAAGGUGAGAAUGGGCCAUUAUGGUUCUAGAAUUUCAUCAAGCCCAGUAAUUUGUGCUUGAACUAGAGUGUAUAUUUAGAAAGUCAUCAAACAUGUCUUAAUUCAUGUCUGUAAAAUGCAUUGAGAUGCAUAAUAAUGUUACUAAUAUUACUGCUUUUCUAUUAUUAUCAGAACUUAAACUCACUUUAUUGCUAUCGGUGUGCUUUUCAGUCCUCAGUUAGGACUUGAUAUUAGUGAUUGUCUCAAACUCCAGAAACUAAAAACUAAGGGUCAGAUUUUUAAAAAUGGAUUUCAAAAGUUAUUCCUAAUUUAUAGUUAACAGUUUACACCUAUUUUAAAAAUAUUUCUAAAAUAGUGUGAACAUUGAUUUCUGGUUCUAAAGAUAGUGGCAAUUCUAUCAGAAUUGGUAUAGGAAAAAAAGCAAGAUGAGAAACUGUUGUGAUGUUACUCUGAUAGCUCACAACUUGCCAGGCUGUAAAUGGAUGUGGCAUAAUAGUAAAUCUGAGAACCAGCCUCUUCUUUGUAAUGUUACAUGGGGCAUUAAAUUCUAGCCCUAAUAUUUCACAAGAUAUCCAGACUUAACUUUAUCACUUGUUCCUUGCUUUUAGUAGUGCUGUUUAGAUGAGGGUCCAAGGCUGAAUAUCAGUUGUCCCAGAUUUUGUACUAGUGCAAUUUUUGUCCCCGGGAAGUCUUAGUGCAAACACAUAUAUGCCUCCAUCCCAACAAAAUAUGUAUGUUGACUAUUUAUUUGAAACAUCUAUAUUUAAUUUUUUCUGUUUGUUUUUUUUAUAAGCUGUCGGGUAAGUCACAUCUAGAUAGACCUAUAAGAGGUAAAGCAUUUGUGGCGUAUGCUACCAUUUAUUAAAGAAGCUUGUGUAUUUUUUGUGGCUAUCUUGAAAUACUGGCUUAGUUCCUUGUUUCAGAUCAAAUUUAGAAUUUUUUUUCUUUCAAGUAUAGUAGAAGCUUUAAAUAGUUAGUGUGUGCUUAUAUCAUGAUAAAGAAAUAAAUUCUUAUGAAAUGGAAGAGACUGCAUAUGCUAGUGAAGCAGUGUAGGGAGUAUAGGACUUCACUGCAAUAAAAAUAAUUCAUUUCAAAAUAUAGGUCAACUGAGAUACGUAAAAUAAAAUUUGGUCUAAUUUUUUGACCUGUGUGAAUUGGUAUAAAUUAUACACCUGCUGCUAAAUUUGCUUCCUUUUGCCUGUUCUCCUUUUCAUGCCUAUAUGUAUGUAUUCUCAGUAUCUCUAUAGAUAUUUUAAUUUUAAAUUAAGGAUUUAAAAGAUGGGGGUUCUUUGAAUAAAACUUCUUGAAAUUGUUGAUCUUUACAAAGACAUGCAACAUAGCCCUUCCUUGCCCUUCCCCCAGAACAUUCAUGUCAUGGUUUAAGAAGUUGUAGCCCUACAAAGACUUUUCAAAUCUGCUGUCAUUAUUUGGAAGAGGAUAUUAGAACACUGGCCUUACUUGAUACCUCCUGCAAAAUGACAGGUUAAAAUUAAAAUGCUAAAAUGCAGAUGAAGAUUGGUUUAAAAACAAAGUUCUACUCUGUCUUAAGAGUACAGAGGGUCAAGAUCCUGAAGCCUUUUUUUUUUUUUUU